ensembl:lncRNA
CUCGGUGUGCCUGCGCCGCGCGUGCAAGAGGCAGCAAAACAGCAGCCCUGGCCUCCCCGUGCAAUUAUUUACAAAGGAGGGACUGCAGCAACACCCCGGCACAUACUGUACGGAUCUUUGAUCUCCUGCAUCGCAUUAAGUAACAAAGAGCAGAGGACUUCAGAGAUGUAUGAGAUGGUCUGAUUGCAGCGCAGGGCUCUGUCCCAACCCGGACUGGGGGUCGUACCACCAAUUCCACCAUCGUUAGAGUUAUUAUUUUUGUUUUUAGCUGGGAUACUUCCAAGAGCGCCCGAUUCCUUGAAUUAGAUCCUUACAGCCAUUGUAACGUUCACUUCCGUGUAACAGCGUGGGACUUUUUAAGCACUGAUGUUGCGUUCUUCGCCUUUAGAACCAAUCACUGAAAUGGUUAAACCUGCAGGAUGUGGUGUGCAAUUUCUCCCCUGCAAAUUUUCCCACAACGUAUCUCUCGGAGGGUUAUUACCGCUUAUUUUAUUAAGAAUCACAGAACGGCCUGGGUUGAAAAGGACCACAAUGCUCAUCCAGUUCCAACCCCCUGCUGUGUGCAGGGUCACCAACCACCAGACCAGGCUGCCCAGAGCCACAUCCAGCCUGGUUUCCAUGACCUUAUUUGAGGCCAGGGCUGUAAAACUGAUUUUACAGAGGACCGGAACUGUAGUAAUUAAAGUAGCUGACUGUGGGCUCACCUUGCAUCUCUGUCUUCAAAAUGCAUUCCAUUUUCCUAAAUGAGUCAUAUGCAGAGUUGAUGCAUUUCAGCCUUUUGCACCAGGAGUGCAUUAUUUUCACUAACAGCUACAGGGAGAGUGGUUUGGGGUGUUAAAUAUAAUCCCCUUCCUAAAGACACCCUCAUUUUUCCCCAUCCAGAUGGGAGAUGGGGGCAAGGAGGGCAGCCUGCCGACACGAGGCGUGUUCACACCUUGCACGUAUCCAUGCA